UAAGUAAGCGGGGGAAAAGGAACUAAAUAGGAUUCCCUCAGUAAUGGCGAAUGAACAGGGAUGAGCUCAGGCUGGAAACCGAUACAUCUGUGUCGGGCUGUAGCCUGCAGGCAUAGCGCUAUCGGCGGCUCGAGCGCAAGCCUCUUGGAAUAGAGCGUGUGCCCGGGUGAGAAUCCUGCAUUUCGCUCGAUGUCCGCUGUCCACAGUGCUUGUUCUGAGAGUCACGCUCCUCGGAAUUGGAGCGUAAAUCAGGUGGUAAGUUUCAUCCAAAGCUAAAUACAAGCUCGAGACCAAUAGCAAACAAGUACCAUGAGGGAAAGAUGAAAAGGACUUUGGAAAGAGAGUUAAAAGUGUUUGAAAUUGCUGAGAGGGAAGCGAACGGAACCACAUGUCGUGCUGAGAUUGCUGUGGGUCUUUGUGAGCCUUGAGCAUGUAAGCGCAAGCUGACUGCUUAUGCGUGAGCAUUUGCCCGCAGUGUUUCUCAGCAUGCGAGUCAUUAGCCACAUUUGUUUGAGGAUGGCCUUCAGCUCACAUGGUACACUUGUUAGUGUGCCUCUGUGCGGUGUGGGAUUCAGACACGUGUGGCUUGUUGACCCAUUGGUUUUUUUCGACCCGUCUUGAAACACGGACCA
rnacentral:rRNA from 1 species